UGUUUUGUGUUGAGACCGUUCAGAGUUUUUUGUUUGGAGAUUUAUUUUUUUAUUUACCGGACAUUUGUUCGCGUUACGUUUUUCUGGUAAUCGCAACAUCAAUCAUCUUCAUCAUUAUCAUCAUAAUUUACAAAAUUUAAAGGAUCGGAUCAAAUACCAAUUCUUCCAAGCUUUGUGACAGAAAAACAACAAAGAACAGAUUAUGGAUUAAAUAUACAAAUAAGUGUUUUUUGUCUGUCUGGAGCAUUCAAAGAUGGUUCCCGAUUUCCAACAAUCUCCAGUGUCCCCGUGUGUUAAGCAAAGGUGAUACAUGAAACUCUCAAGGGAUGCUCAAUGCUCAACACUGAAUCGCCCAACGAUGCUGGGAUACUUCAAACGAUGUUUCGAUCAUUAAACAAAAUUUUAAAUGUUGUUAAUAGUUUAGGUUAAAUCAAUAAAAAAUUGCAAUAGGCGUAAAAAA